GACGAACCGAGCGAACGUUGUUCGGAAUCACUGGGCUUAAAGGGCGCGUAGGCGGGCCGUCUAGUCCGUGGUGAAAUCCUCCGGCUCAACCGGAGAAGUGCCUCGGAUACUGGCGGCCUCGAGGGGGGUAGGGGCGUGCGGAACUUCCGGUGGAGCGGUGAAAUGCGUAGAUAUCGGAAGGAACACCGGUGGCGAAAGCGGCGCGCUGGACCUCUUCUGACGCUGAGACGCGAAAGCGUGGGGAGCGAACCGG
rnacentral:rRNA from 1 species